rnacentral:rRNA from 1 species
CCUACGGGUUGCACCAGUGGGGAAUAUUGGACAAUGGGCGAAAGCCUGAUCCAGCAAUGCCGCGUGUGUGAAGAAGGUCUUCGGAUUGUAAAGCACUUUCGACGGGGACGAUGACGACGGUACCCGUAGAAGAAGCCCCGGCUAACUUCGUGCCAGCAGCCGCGGUAAUACGAAGGGGGCUAGCGUUGCUCGGAAUGACUGGGCGUAAAGGGCGCGUAGGCGGUUUAUGCAGUCAGAUGUGAAAUCCCCGGGCUUAACCUGGGAACUGCAUUUGAGACGCAUAGACUAGAGGUCGAGAGAGGGUUGUGGAAUUCCCAGUGUAGAGGUGAAAUUCGUAGAUAUUGGGAAGAACACCGGUGGCGAAGGCGGCAACCUGGCUCGAUACUGACGCUGAGGCGCGAAAGCGUGGGGAGCAAACAGGAUUAGAUACCCGGGUAGUC